CAAGACGUGGCUGAAUAGUUAAGCAUCUCACUUACACCGAGAAAAUAUCCGUGCAAAUCGAAUCGUCCUGA
rnacentral:tRNA from 1 species